rnacentral:rRNA from 1 species
UACAGAGGGUGCGAGCGUUGUCCGGAAUCACUGGGCGUAAAGGGCGCGUAGGUGGCGACCCAAGUCGAUGGUGAAAGCUCGCCGCUCAACGGCGAGUCGGCCACCGAUACUGGGUUGCUGGAGCACUGUAGAGGCUCAUGGAAUUCCGGGUGUAGCGGUGGAAUGCGUAGAGAUCCGGAGGAACACCAAUUGCGAAGGCAGCUCGCUGGGACGUUACUGACGCUGAGACGCGAAAGCGUGGGGAGCGAACAGG